UGGGGAAUAUUGCACAAUGGGGGAAACCCUGAUGCAGCGACGCCGCGUGAGCGAAGAAGUAUUUCGGUAUGUAAAGCUCUAUCAGCAGGGAAGAAAAUGACGGUACCUGACUAAGAAGCCCCGGCUAACUACGUGCCAGCAGCCGCGGUAAUACGUAGGGGGCAAGCGUUAUCCGGAUUUACCGGGUGUAAAGGGAGCGUAGACGGACUGGCAAGUCUGAUGUGAAAACCCGGGGCUCAACCCCGGGACUGCAUUGGAAACUGUCAGUCUAGAGUGUCGGAGGGGUAAGUGGAAUUCCUAGUGUAGCGGUGAAAUGCGUAGAUAUUACGCAGAACUCCGAUUGCGAAGGCAGCAUACCGGCGCUCAACUGACGCUGAGGCACGAAAGCGUGGGGAUCGAACAGGAUUAGAUACCC
rnacentral:rRNA from 1 species